rnacentral:rRNA from 1 species
GCCAGCAGCCUUAUCAUCCUGCAGCUCACAACUGGCAGCCCAAUGAUCCUAAGCAGGUGUGAGCCUGGUCAGUACCUGGAUGGGAAACCCUCUGGGAAAGCUAAAGUUGCUGCUGGAA